UACGUAGGCAGCAAGCGUUGUUCGGAGUUACUGGGCGUAAAGGGUGUGUAGGCGGUCCUUUAAGUUUGGUGUGAAAUCUCCCGGCUCAACUGGGAGGGUGCGCCGAAUACUGAGGGACUAGAGUACGGGAGAGGAAAGUGGAAUUCCUGGUGUAGCGGUGAAAUGCGUAGAUAUCAGGAGGAACACCGGUGGUGUAGACGGCUUUCUGGACCGUAACUGACGCUGAGACACGAAAGCGUGGGGAGCAGACAGG
rnacentral:rRNA from 1 species